UGACGAUGAUGGUCGAGCCCGGAGGAGGCCC
rnacentral:sRNA from 1 species